UUCUUCUGCGUGAAUAGGGGUCCAAAAUCUGAGUGUUCCAGUAUAUAAAUGUUGUGAAAACCUUUGUUAUACCAUAGAUGCUUGUAGUUGUGUGCUGUUCGGUGUUGGUGUUGUAUGAAUCUGUGUGACUGGAUGAGAAAAGUGCUGGGUUUUCAAAGAUCUGUGUGAUCUGGGGCCGAUUCCUUAGUGGAUAGUGGUUAAGCUUGUGAUUUCUCUUCAAGAUAAGUCCAGUGCUUGGUCUUUUUAAUUUCUGGAAUAAUAUUGUAUAUUCUUUUAGUCGGUUUUUGGCUUUACUAGUGCAACCGAGCUAUAUCAAUUUAUAAUGAAUGUUCAACAUGGGAUUAGACGUUAUAUGUGGUCGUCAAACCUCUAGGGCUACGGCUAAAAAAUCUUUGUAUUGAUUUUUACAUUUUCUGCAUUUAUUCUUUACUGUUUGUGUUGUGGUUUUGGAAUCUUGGUUAAUCUUUGGUCCUUGCUCAUUAUUUCAAUGGUAUCAAAGCUAUUUGGAAUAUUCUGAACCUGCCUUCAAGUAUUGUGAAUACUGCUUGGUAGAAUUUUGAGUUCUUUUUAACUCUUUGGUGUGAUCUUUCCUCCAUCCUGUAAUUAGUAAUUUUUAUGGUAAGGUCUCCUGAUUUUUCCCUUGAUUUGCCUUAUACUAUCAUAUGUCACGUGCUUGGUCUUUGUCCAAAGACUCGAGAAGUCUUGGGAAUCUGAGAUAACAACACGUUGAGGAGUGCAAUUGGAAGGUCUUGCUAGAGAAGUCAAUUAAGGCAUAGGAGUUGAUAUCUCUGUCUCUGUGUUUCUGCCUCUUAUACUUAGUGUUGAGUGUUCACUGUUUCUUGAAGAAAAUUUGUAUAAGUGCAUUGUUGUUUGACCCUAUCCUCCGUCUGCUUGCAGUUGUUUGUGAUGUGAUCCAAGAAUCAAGUUUGAAGACAACGAGUUCGAGUCGAGACUCGUUGAUUGUCGAAGGUGGACAGAUGAUGCAAUCGAGAGCAAAGUAAGUGAAACGAACGAUGGGAUUGCUUGUUCAAGAAACCAUUGAUGGGACGAUGUUCGGGACGCAAAAUGGGAUAACUUUCAUGUUCGGGUCGUUAACCGAAUCAAAGUGGAUCAACUCAAUACAAGCAGACGAAAACGGAGGCCAAAGUUCAUGCUGUGCGACCGCAUAGCAUAAAAGUCGUACGGC
rnacentral:lncRNA from 1 species